UCCCUGGUGGCUCAGAGGUUAAAGCAUCUGCCUUCAAUGCAGGAGACCUGGGUUCCAUCCUUGGGUCAGGGAA
rfam:TPA: Bos taurus chromosome 15, whole genome shotgun sequence.